AAUAGAUACCCCGGUAGUCCACGCCGUAAACGAUGUCGACUUGGAGGUUGUGCCCUUGAGGCGUGGCUUCCGGAGCUAACGCGUUAAGUCGACCGCCUGGGGAGUACGGCCGCAAGGUUAAAACUCAAAUGAAUUGACGGGGGCCCGCACAAGCGGUGGAGCAUGUGGUUUAAUUCGAUGCAACGCGAAGAACCUUACCUACUCUUGACAUCCAGAGAACUUAGCAGAGAUGCUUUGGUGCCUUCGGGAACUCUGAGACAGGUGCUGCAUGGCUGUCGUCAGCUCGUGUUGUGAAAUGUUGGGUUAAGUCCCGCAACGAGCGCAACCCUUAUCCUUUGUUGCCAGCGGUUAGGCCGGGAACUCAAAGGAGACUGCCAGUGAUAAACUGGAGGAAGGUGGGGAUGACGUCAAGUCAUCAUGGCCCUUACGAGUAGGGCUACACACGUGCUACAAUGGCAUAUACAAAGAGAAGCGACCUCGCGAGAGCAAGCGGACCUCAUAAAGUAUGCCGUAGUCCGGA
rnacentral:rRNA from 1 species